rnacentral:rRNA from 1 species
GACUACCCGCUGAACUUAAGCAUAUCAAUAGGCCGGAGGAAA